AGCACUUGAUCAAAGAUGGAAAAGAAGGGCCCACUUUUUACAUUUUUGCAAAUGGUUGUCAAUUGCCAAAUGCAAAUAUGUCUUCAUUUCCUUUUUAAAGUAAUUAACUGGCUGUUUCUGUUCUUGUUAUUUUUUGGUGUAUUCCUUCCAUCAGAAAGUUGGUAAACUUAACUAGCUACCUUCCCAAUUGCUCAUUGUUUUCCAAUCAUUAUACCUUUACUUUUGUCAAUAAAAACCCAAAUAUAUUAUUAAAUUAUAUUAUAUUUUUUUAAUUUUUAUCAUUAAUUUUUUAAUAUUAUAUUUCUAUCUUUUAUUUUUGAAUAAUGAUUUGCUUCAAAUUAGUACUAGAAACUCAAAUUAUACUAUAUAAUGUAUAGUUGCAUGAAAUAUGCAAAUUACUUACGUAUAUCAUCAUCGCUAAACGG
rnacentral:misc_RNA from 1 species